UACGAAGGGGGCUAGCGUUGUUCGGAAUUACUGGGCGCAAAACGCACGUAGGCGGAUAUUUAAGUCAGGGGUGAAAUCCCAGAGCUCAACUCUGGAACUGCCUUUGAUACUGGGUAUCUUGAGUAUGGAAGAGGUGAGUGGAAUUCCGAGUGUAGAGGUGAAAUUCGUAGAUAUUCGGAGGAACACCAGUGGCGAAGGCGGCUCACUGGUCCAUUACUGACGCUGAGGUGCGAAAGCGUGGGGAGCAAACAGG
rnacentral:rRNA from 1 species